rnacentral:rRNA from 1 species
UAGGGAAUCUUCCGCAAUGGGCGAAAGCCUGACGGAGCAACGCCGCGUGAGUGAUGAAGGUCUUCGGAUCGUAAAACUCUGUUAUUAGGGAAGAACAAAUGUGUAAGUAACUAUGCACGUCUUGACGGUACCUAAUCAGAAAGCCACGGCUAACUACGUGCCAGCAGCCGCGGUAAUACGUAGGUGGCAAGCGUUAUCCGGAAUUAUUGGGCGUAAAGCGCGCGUAGGCGGUUUUUUAAGUCUGAUGUGAAAGCCCACGGCUCAACCGUGGAGGGUCAUUGGAAAAUGGAAAACUUGAGUGCAGAAGAGGAAAGUGGAAUUCCAUGUGUAGCGGUGAAAUGCGCAGAGAUAUGGAGGAACACCAGUGGCGAAGGCGACUUUCUGGUCUGUAACUGACGCUGAUGUGCGAAAGCGUGGGGAUCAAACAGG